UUUCUUCACAGGGCUGAAAGCCUCUGACAUUAAGAGGAGCAGGAGGUGGAUUUCUUGGACAGCUCAGCGUCAAGACAGAGCUGCCAGCGCAGGAGGCAUGGGCUUCAUCCCUGGCUGGGGAAGACCCUGAAUGCUGUGUGGCGGUCUCCCCACCAAAGAGAGAGGGGCAGGAGGCAGGUGGGGACCGUGAAGGUAAGGGAUGGGGAGAGAGGGGCAGGAGACAGGAGACCCUGAAGGUAAGGGAGGGGAGAGAGGGGCAGGAGGCAGGAGACCCUGAAGGUAAGGGACGGGGAGAGAGGGGCAGGAGACAGGAGGAGACCCUGAAGGUAAGGGAGGGGAGAGAGGGGCAGGAGGCAGGCGGGGGCCCUGAAGGUAAGGGAGGGGAGAGAGGGGUAGGAGGCAGGAGACCCUGAAGGUAAGGGAGGGGAGAGAUCUCUGAGGACUUCAGGAGGCAGAGGGAGUGGGGUGAGUAAACGGAGCCUGGGGCAAGUCAGAGGAGUCUGGAGAACCUGCAGUCUAGACCUUAUUGCUCAACUCUGCCUCCCAAGGGCAAUUAAAC
ensembl:lncRNA